CGUAACAAGGUCUCCGUAGGUGAACCUGCGGAGGGAUCAUUACACAAAUAUGAAGGCGGGCUGGAACCUCUCGGGGUUACAGCCUUGCUGAAUUAUUCACCCUUGUCUUUUGCGUACUUCUUGUUUCCUUGGUGGGUUCGCCCACCACUAGGACAAACAUAAACCUUUUGUAAUUGCAAUCAGCGUCAGUAACAAAUUAAUAAUUACAACUUUCAACAACGGAUCUCUUGGUUCUGGCAUCGAUGAAGAACGCAGCGAAAUGCGAUAAGUAGUGUGAAUUGCAGAAUUCAGUGAAUCAUCGAAUCUUUGAACGCACAUUGCGCCCUUUGGUAUUCCAAAGGGCAUGCCUGUUCGAGCGUCAUUUGUACCCUCAAGCUUUGCUUGGUGUUGGGCGUCUUGUCUCUAGCUUUGCUGGAGACUCGCCUUAAAGUAAUUGGCAGCCGGCCUACUGGUUUCGGAGCGCAGCACAAGUCGCACUCUCUAUCAGCAAAGGUCUAGCAUCCAUUAAGCCUUUUUUUCAACUUUAGACCUCGGAUCAGGUAGGGAUACCCGCUGAACUUAAGCAUAUCA
rnacentral:rRNA from 1 species